UACGGGGGGAGCAAGCGUUGUUCGGAUUUACUGGGCGUAAAGGGCGCGUAGGCGGCCACCGCAAGUCGGUUGUGAAAUCUCUGGGCUUAACCCAGAAAGGUCAACCGAUACUGCGGGGCUAGAGUGCAGAAGGGGCAACUGGAAUUCUCGGUGUAGCGGUGAAAUGCGUAGAUAUCGAGAGGAACACCUGCGGCGAAGGCGGGUUGCUGGGCUGACACUGACGCUGAGGAGCGAAAGCAUGGGGAGCAAACAGG
rnacentral:rRNA from 1 species